CAUAUGAUACAAUCAAUACUAUUAAAACAGAAGACCCUUUUUUGAAGUGCCAUCAUGUUUCAACAAUAUUUACAAGAUUCUGCCAGUGGAUUAUUUUAAGCUAUGAUUUUAAUUAAAUUAUUUAUUUUUUGAAAUUACUAUUUUUUAAACACCUACAUCUUAUUUAAUUAAAACAUAACUAAUGUUGCUUAUUCUACAGAAAAAUCGGCAAUGGAAAUAUUUAGUAUAACAAACACGAUUUUCCUUACUUUAAUAUUUGAAUCAACCAAACAAAUAUUCCCUAUUGUCGCCUCUUAAUAAGUGUGUAACAAUAUUAGAGUCUAACAAAGGAUGCAAGUUCUUUUCCGGAUAGGAGAUUCUAGGGUUCUUAUGGAGGACAAGGAUUUUCACAAGACAAUACUUUAUUGGUUUCAUAGAUCCAGAGUGUUCUUAUAGAUGAGUGGUAUGGAUUGCUGAUGUUUAAGUGAUUAAUCAAAAUCUGGAAACAAUCACUUUCAAAAUCAAAAGCAAGAGGUCGAUCUGUUUCUUAUGGAAGAAGCUUCUCUGCCACGCUAAACUAUUCCUCUACAGAUGCUAAUGUCCGGUACCAGGUUUUUCUUAUACUUAGUUUUGAAUCUUCCAUAAAUGUUCUUGAUCUGAUAGUUAUACAAGUUAAUUGAUCUCUGACUUUAGGUAUGUUUGGUUCUCACCAUCGUUAGAAAAAAACUAUGUAGUUGAUAUUUGUGUAUUAGUCUCUCCUAAAAGAAAAUUUAUUUUCUUUCGUUACAAUGUAUAUAUUAAUGUUUGUUCUGCUUUAAUUGAGGUUUUUGGUGGAAGGGAAAGCUACUUCAAGAGCUUCCAUUCUCGAUAGACCUUCUUCUCUCAAUACUCUUCCAUUCUCGAUAGACCUUCUUCUCUCAAUACUUGAAGUCCGGUUUAUGAAGCUCACUUAGUUUUGUUUGUUUGCUUCAAAUGUUUGAUCUUUAUAGGUUGGUUGGAAAAAUAGGCUAUACCUGGGAAAACAACCCUGCUCUUUCGUUUGUGUUGAUGAAGGUAUGAUUCUCACCUGCCAUUGAAUUGCUUGAUAACAAUUUUUACCAUCAUUUAUAAAUUAAUAGAAAAGAAACAUAGUCCCCAAAAAAUACAAUAAGUAUUUUAUUAAAAUAAAAGAUGAUAUUCUUUUGAAUUACUAAUUAUAAUACACUCCAGAAUUUAUAUAUUGGAAUUUCUUUCACAAUUUCAAACACAUAAUAUAUUUAAAAUGUAUUUGUUUUGACAAAAAAAAACAUAUUCUACCCUUUUUAUAAAUUUAAUUUCAAUAGUUAAACCUUCACAACUAUGUUAGUGGUUGCAAGAAAAUAAAAUUCAUCUAAAACUUAAAUACCUUCAACUAAAAAUAUCAUUUAUAAAUAUUUUCUACACCAUCAAAAACUUUAAUCUAUUGGGUAAAAACAAAAAGAACGAAAAUAAACAAUUUACAUAAAUUUAUGUGUAUCACUAUAAUAUAAAACUUAGUUGACAAAAAAAAAACCCAAACCUUAAAUCCUUAGUUUAUAAUAAACUUACAAAUUUAUUAUCAAUUAAAUUAAAUCUUAAAUCCCAAAUAAACUGAAAUUAAAACAUAAAAUUAUAAUA